CACUCCUGCGGGAGGCAGCAGUGGGGAAUAUUGGACAAUGGGCGCAAGCCUGAUCCAGCCAUGCCGCGUGAGUGAUGAAGGCCCUAGGGUUGUAAAGCUCUUUCACCGGUGAAGAUAAUGACGGUAACCGGAGAAGAAGCCCCGGCUAACUUCGUGCCAGCAGCCGCGGUAAUACGAAGGGGGCUAGCGUUGUUCGGAUUUACUGGGCGUAAAGCGCACGUAGGCGGACUAUUAAGUCAGGGGUGAAAUCCCGGGGCUCAACCCCGGAACUGCCUUUGAUACUGGUAGUCUUGAGUUCGAGAGAGGUGAGUGGAAUUCCGAGUGUAGAGGUGAAAUUCGUAGAUAUUCGGAGGAACACCAGUGGCGAAGGCGGCUCACUGGCUCGAUACUGACGCUGAGGUGCGAAAGCGUGGGGAGCAAACAGGAUUAGAUACCCCAGUAGUCCC
rnacentral:rRNA from 1 species